CUCAGUUGAACUUGAUCCAGUCCAAAGAAGAAGAAACCAAGGCACAGAUAGAGUUUGAGUGACUUGCCAGCAUUUCACAGUUUGGCUUCAAGAUCAGAUUUUCCUAAUGUAGGAAUCUUUCUACUUUACCACGCCCUGCACUACCAGUCCCUGAAGUAGCAUUUUUUUCUCCUAACAGAGUUAGGAAGAAUUUGCCUGUAGAAGAGAUCUCCUUAAACUCAGCAGCAUUACCCAGACCCUCCAGUCUCAGAGCUCUGGCCUCAGCCUACUUGCAGCUAUGGCUAAAUCUCCCCUUGCAGUGCAAAGGCUCUUUUUGCACUUAAUGGCAGGAUAGAGGCUCGGCCUCCCCAGCUCUAAUGUUUCCAUUUCUUGGGGACUUUACAGCUGCCUCAAGGUGGUCCCCCCUCCCCCUGCCCAGUCUCUCUGCUUCAGGAUCCAUUCGUCCUGGUGUGUGAAUCCCUGAAGUAGCAUUUGAAUCCUCUUGAUUCAGCCGGAGCAUCUUGGAAAAGUUGUCUCUCUCUCUUUCUCUCUCUCAUACAUAUAAAAAGCCAGCUUUUCUCUCUGCUGUGAAGAGGAAACUUCUGGAAGAAGGCCACAUAGAAGUGACAUUUGCUUUUUGGAGAUUUACUGGGGAGCACAUGGGAGCCCAGCUGAGAGUCCUGUAGGAGGAAAAAAUUACUACACAAAUGUACAUUUUCACCCUUGCUUAAUGAAGACAGAAGAUCAGAAAGAAGUAAGGACAUGUGACUCUAGCUCCUCACUGGGGUAUGUCUAAAUCCUUUUCACAGACCUUAGGACUUAGACAAUGGAAGGAGCAUUUGUAUGCAAGUCAGGAUUUGGUGUCCAGUCCCAGAGUGUCUUGGC
rnacentral:lncRNA from 1 species